rnacentral:sRNA from 1 species
UGCUUCGUAAAUUGUGAGUUUAUAAAC